rnacentral:rRNA from 1 species
UGGGGAAUAUUGCACAAUGGGGGAAACCCUGAUGCAGCGACGCCGCGUGAGCGAUGAAGUAUUUCGGUAUGUAAAGCUCUAUCAGCAGGGAAGAAAAUGACGGUACCUGACUAAGAAGCCCGGGCUAACUACGUGCC